UGGGGAUGACGUCAAAUCAUCAUGCCCCUUAUGACCUGGGCUACACACGUGCUACAAUGGGCGGUACAAAGGGUCGCGAACCCGCGAGGGGGAGCCAAUCCCAAAAAGCCGCUCUCAGUUCGGAUUGCAGGCUGCAACUCGCCUGCAUGAAGCCGGAAUCGCUAGUAAUCGCGGAUCAGCAUGCCGCGGUGAAUACGUUCCCGGGCCUU
rnacentral:rRNA from 1 species